CUAGAGCUGACACGGGUCCGACAGACCACUCCUGUGCGUCGGCGGACCACUCCCGUGCGUCGGCGGACCACUCCCAUUUUGGCUGACUCUUCAGAUAUACCGACGGACCACUCCCGUUCGUCGCGGACCACUCCCGUGCGUCGGCAGACCACUCCCAUUUUGGCUGACUCUUCAGAUAGACCGACGCCCGUGCGUCGCGGACCACUCUGGUGCGUCGGCGGACCACUCCCGUGUGUUGGCGAACCACUCCCAUUUGGGCAGACCACUCCCAUUUUCGGUAGACCACUCCCAUUUUGGCUGACCACUCCCGUGUGUCAGCGGACCACUCCCGUGCUCAGAGGUCCUUCCAAGGACGCAUGAGAGUGUCAAAAUUGAAAACCAUGUUGGUCAAAAGACAAUUUCGUAAUUUUCCCAAUAUAUCAUGCAAAAAUUAAGUCUGUGUAUGUGUGCGCGUGGUUAAGAGGGAGAAAGGAGAAGAAAAUAGUUCUUCAUCUUACAUCAAUAAAAUUCAGCAAUUGGUAAAAGAAAAUGGAUGGAUCAUAUGCAUGAACCCUAAUAUUGAUCAACUAAGCUUUUGCAACAAAAGAGAUGAAGGAAGAAGUGUCGAGCCACACGAAGCAACAAGGAGCCCAAGACCAAGGUAAAACCGCACUUUGAGCGGACUCGCGAUGCUUGGAACGAACACACGCGCAAGCUUCCUUCUUGCCCUUAAUGCGCUUCCGAAAUAACUUAUGUUAUGGGUCAAAACGUUUGGUUGUCUAUAUAGUUAAAAUCUAGUGAUUAAUUAUGUUCCAAAACAUGUACUUUAUAAUUUUUGUAAAAUGGUAAAUGGUUAAAUCUGGCGUUAAGAACUUAGCUUUGUA